rnacentral:lncRNA from 1 species
AAGUUCCGCGGACUCCUCUUUCCUGUAAGUUAUUUUUGUUGAUUUGUUUUUUUUUUUUAGUGAUUUUUCCGCGUGGUCUUAGUGGUGCUAUUCUCUCGGACAGGUUCUCCAGUCUCUCCAGCUAAAUUGAUGAGAUCAGGCAUC